rnacentral:rRNA from 1 species
CCUACGGGAGGCAGCAGUGGGGAAUAUUGCGCAAUGGGCGAAAGCCUGACGCAGCGAAGCCGCGUGAGGGAUGAAGGUCUUCUGAUCGUAAACCUCUGUCAGCAGGGAAGAACGGUCACUGUGCUAAUCAUCAGUGAAUUGACGGUACCUGCAAAGAAAGCACCGGCUAACUCCGUGCCAGCAGCCGCGGUAAUACGGAGGGUGCGAGCGUUAAUCGGAAUUACUGGGCGUAAAGCGCUCGUAGGCGGUAUGUCAAGUCAAGGGUGAAAUCCCCGGGCUCAACGUGGGAACUGCCGUUGAAACUGGUAAACUGGAGUGUGUGAGAGGAUAGUGGAAUUCGAGGUGUAGGAGUGAAAUGCGUAGAUAUCUGGAGGAACAUCAGUGGCGAAGGCGACUAUCUGGCACAUAACUGACGCUGAGGAGCGAAAGCGUGGGUAGCAAACAGGAUUAGAUACCCCAGUAGUC